UGGGGAAUAUUGCACAAUCGAGGGAACUCUGAUGCAGCGACGCCGCGUGAACGAAGAAGGCUUUCGAGUCGUAAAGUUCUUUUAUAUGGGAAGAUAAUGACGGUACCAUAAGAAAAAGCCCCGGCUAACUACGUGCCAGCAGCCGCGGUAAUACGUAGGGGGCUAGCGUUGUCCGGAAUCACUGGGCGUAAAGGGUUCGCAGGCGGAAAUGCAAGUCAGGUGUAAAAGGCAGUAGCUUAACUACUGUAAGCAUUUGAAACUGCAUAUCUUGAGAAGAGUAGAGGUAAGUGGAAUUUUUAGUGUAGCGGUGAAAUGCGUAGAUAUUAAAAAGAAUACCGGUGGCGAAGGCGACUUACUGGGCUCAUUCUGACGCUGAGGAACGAAAGCGUGGGUAGCAAACAGG
rnacentral:rRNA from 1 species